rnacentral:rRNA from 1 species
AGCAUAUCAAUAAGCGGAGGAAAAGAAACCAACAGGGAUUGCCCUAGUAGCGGUGCCUUCCGAGUUCCCUGGAACGGGACGCCAUAGAGGGUGAGAGCCCCGUCUGGUUGGAUGCCAAAUCUCUGUAAAGUUCCUUCGACGAGUCGAGUAGUUUGGGAAUGCUGCUCUAAAUGGGAGGUAUAUGUCUUCUAAAGCUAAAUACCGGCCAGAGACCGAUAGCGCACAAGUAGAGUGAUCGAAAGAUGAAAAGCACUUUGAAAAGAGAGUUAAAAAGUACGUGAAAUUGUUGAAAGGGAAGCGUUUAUGACCAGACUUGGGCUUGGUUAAUCAUCUGGGGUUCUCCCCAGUGCACUUUUCCAGUCCAGGCCAGCAUCAGUUUUCCCCGGGGGAUAAAGGCAUCGGGAAUGUGGCUCUCUUCGGGGAGUGUUAUAGCCCGUUGUGUAAUACCCUGGGGGGGACUGAGGUUCGCGCAUCUGCAAGGAUGCUGGCGUAAUGGUCAUCAACGACCCGUCUU